rnacentral:tRNA from 5 species
GCCGCAGUGGCGGAAUAGGAAGACGCGCUACGUUCAGGGCGUAGUGGGCAUUAGCUCGUGGGGGUUCAAAUCCCUCCUGCGGCA